rnacentral:misc_RNA from 1 species
UCCGAGUUGACCCCGGCAGUCUCCCAUGAGUCCCCGGCAUAACCCGCUGGCAACAUGGAACAAGGGUUGCGCUCGUUGCGGGACUUAACCCAACAUCUCACAACACGAGCUGACGACAGCCAUGCAGCACCUGUCACUCGGCUCCCGAAGGCACUCCGCCGUCUCCGGCAGAUUCCGAGGAUGCCAAGGGUAGGUAAGGUUCUUCGCGUUGCAUCGAAUUAAACCACAUGCUCCACCGCUUGUGCGGGCCCCUGUCAAUUCCUUUGAGUUUUAAUCUUGCGACCGUACUCCCCAGGCGGGAUGCUUAAUGCGUUAGCUGCGCCACCGACAGGUAAACCUGCCGACGGCUAGCAUCCAUCGUUUACGGCGUGGACUAC